rnacentral:rRNA from 1 species
GACAGAGGGUGCAAACGUUGUUCGGAAUUACUGGGCGUAAAGCGCGUGUAGGCGGCUGCGCAAGUCGGAUGUGAAAUCCCAUGCUCAACUGGGAGGGUGCGCCGAAUACUGAAUGACUAGAGUGCGGGAGAGGAGAGUGGAAUUCCGUGGUGUAGCGGUGAAAUGCGUAGAUAUCAGGAGGAACACCGGUGGUGUAGACGGCUCGUCUGGACCGUAACUGACGCUGAGACACGAAAGCGUGGGUAGCAAACAGG